UCAGAUUGAACGCUGGCGGCAGGCCUAACACAUGCAAGUCGAACGGUAACAGRAAGCAGCUUGCUKCUUUGCUGACGAGUGGCGGACGGGUGAGUAAUGUCUGGGAAACUGCCUGAUGGAGGGGGAUAACUACUGGAAACGGUAGCUAAUACCGCAUAACGUCGCAAGACCAAAGAGGGGGACCUUCGGGCCUCUUGCCAUCGGAUGUGCCCAGAUGGGAUUAGCUAGUAGGUGGGGUAAAGGCUCACCUAGGCGACGAUCCCUAGCUGGUCUGAGAGGAUGACCAGCCACACUGGAACUGAGACACGGUCCAGACUCCUACGGGAGGCAGCAGUGGGGAAUAUUGCACAAUGGGCGCAAGCCUGAUGCAGCCAUGCCGCGUGUAUGAAGAAGGCCUUCGGGUUGUAAAGUACUUUCAGCGGGGAGGAAGGGAGUAAAGUUAAUACCU
rnacentral:rRNA from 1 species